GUCAGCCUGGUGACGCCUCUCCUCACAGUUACAGGAGGGCUGGAGAUAAAAAGACCGACACACACUCCUCCCACUAUUCAGUACAUUGAAUUACUCUGCCGGUGAAUGUACCGCUUGACCACAAAGAGACGAAGAGGCACGCUUUUUUACCUACAGAGGGGACCGCAAACACAGGAGGACGGACUACCUGAAAACAUGAGACGGGACGUCUGUUAGCUAACAACGUCCCGGACUAUUUUCUCUCUCUUUUUUAUUCUCGGUGUGAAACUUCAGCUCGGUCAGCAUUUACCGGCCACCCACCUCACACACGUUACCUUUGGCUCGGGUUGUGUGUGUGUGCCUCCCCCCCUCUUUUUUUGACUCUCUUGGGGGAAGUCUCAACUUUACACCGUGUGCCACAAAGCUACUGAAAUCAGAGAAAAAGAAGUGGCAGCAGCAGCAGCCCUCAGACAGGAUACUUCAGUCAGUGGGAUGUUAGAGCUCUGGGAGCAGGACUGACUGAAGGAGCAUGGUGAAACACCAACCCCUCCAGGUCUAUGAGCGCCAGCUGUGUUUGUCAUGUAUCACCGGGAUCUACGGUUGCCGCUGGAAACGCUAUCAACGUUCACAUGAUGACACCACCAAGUGGGAGCUGCUGUGGUCCCUCGUCCUCCUCUUUACCUUCUGUCUGCUGCUGGUCUGGUUCUACUUCUGGUGGGAGGCACAUAACGACUACAACGAGUUCAACUGGUUCCUCUACAACCGCUCUCGGGAGUGGAGUGAUGGCACUGUUCCCAUUCUGGCCACCACCGCCGCUGGCUUUACCUACAUUGCAUUUUUAAUGGUUUUAGCACUUUGCCACAUUGCACUUGGGCAACAGUUGAAUUUGCACUGGCUCCAUAAGAUAGGAGUGACUGCUGCUCUGCUCACCACCAUCGUUGGGGUGAUAUAUAUCAAUGAAACAUGGCGGCAAGAGUGGGAUGUUAUCCCCAUCUCCCUGCAGGCCACGGGUCCGUUCCUUCACAUUGGGGCCCUCGCUGCGGUCACAGCGCUGUCAUGGAUUGUGGCUGGACAGGUUGCCCGCACAGAAAAAACAAUGUUCCAGGUGGUAGUUGUGCUGCUGUAUCUCAGUGUGUUACUGGGACUCUACGUGGUGCCCCUCUACAUCGCCUCCCCCUGCAUCAUGGACACAGCCACCCUUAAACCUCGUCCUGAUGUCAUUGGCCACCAGGGAGCGCCCAUGCUCGCUCCAGAGAACACACUGCGGUCCUUUCAGCGAGCUCUGCAUAUGAAUGUCACUGGGUUGGAGGCUGACGUGGCUAUCAGUGUGGAUGGAGUACCUUUCCUGAUGCACGACCGCAGCCUGCAGAGAACCACAGACGUGGCGGAGGUUUUCCCAGAUCGACAGAUGGACGACGCUUCACACUUCAACUGGACAGAUCUGCAGCAGCUCAACGCAGGAAAGUGGUUCCUAAAGGACGACCCCUUCUGGACAGUGAACUCCCUGCCCCCCAAAGAGAGGGAUCUCAUUGCCAACCAGAGUGUGUGCAGCCUGGAGCAGCUUCUAAAGCUGGCUUCCUACCAUAACAGCACGGUUGUUUUCAGGCUGAGGAGACCUCCUCAGGAGCACCCCUGCUACCACAGCUGGAUCAAUGAUACUCUGCAGGCUGUGCAGCAAUCUGGGAUCCCUCAGAGCCUGGUAAUGUGGACUCCAGAUGAAUACAGAGCUCAGGUGAGACAGCUGGCACCCGGUCUGAUCCAGACCUCAUUGAACAAAACGAGUCCUCAAAGUCUCCAACAGUACGGCAUCAGCAGGCUGCUGCUCAGAUACAACCAGGCCAACACACAGGAAAUCAGAAACUAUUCCCAGAGCAACAUCAACCUCAGCCUGUACACCGUCAAUGAGCCCUGGCUGUACUCAGUGCUUUGGUGCAGUGGGGUGUCUUCAGUCUCCUCAGAGGCCCCAGAUAUCCUCCGUAAGGUGCCUCACCCCAUCUGGCUCAUGGGACCAGAUGAAUACUGCCUGAUGUGGGUGUCUGCAGACCUCAUCUCCUUUGCUGUAGUCAUAGGAAUAUUCAUAUUCCAAAACUAUCACAUGAUCAGGUAUCGGAUGACCGGUAUGCGCAGCUACAACCCUGAACAGAUCAUGCUGAGCGCCGCGGUCAGGAGGUCCAGCAGAGACCUCAACGUGAUGAAGGAGAAACUGAUCUUCUCUGGUCAACCCCAGUAGCAGCCUGUGUGAUGUGCACCACCUCCUCUCCAUGCUACCACCAGUGUGACUUCUUCCUUUAUUCCAUGCACCCGUUGCAUCCCUCAUUACCUGCCACUUCUCUGCCUACAUGCUCUCCUCCCCCUCAUCCACCCAUCCAUUCAUCCCCUCAUGCAUCAAACCUCCCCUCAUAAUCCUCCCACUGGAGACAACGUCAUGUGUAGGGGAGCUUAUAGACGCCCCAGUCUGUCUAGACAGCCUCUAGUGCUGGGGGUCAAAGAGGUUGGGAAUGGAGUUGGCGGCGCUGAUGAGCUGUAUGCGGACAAUGGCUACGACUACUACACCAAUCAAGGCAUUAGCCAGUGAUUGGGACUCAGCCUGUGUGAAUCUGCUGUAGCGAGACGAGGACACCCUCAGUAUUCACAUCAUUCCUGUUCUUAGUCAGUGUGAAGACUGUUCUCCUCCUCUGUCCUACUGAUUAACUGACGGACUGCUGUACUGAUGGAGAAAAAACAACCACCCAGUUGCUUUGUGUAAUUAUGUAAAUAAUUUUGUUCUGGCUUGUGAGACAAUGCCGUAUAUCACACGGGACGACACGCACUUUUUAUUAACGGAAUGCGCCAAAAUCUGCAGCCUCCUUUCUCACAUCUAAAAUGUCCGAGAGGCCCCUCUGAGUUACCUGCUUCUUUUUAAAGAUGCGUUUCCGGAUUCUUAAUAAUUUAAAGCUAAUUUCCCAAAGCAAGUUGCUUGUCUUUAACCACUGUAUAUGAUAUUCUUCUCUUAGCAGAUGAAUUUCUUUUUAAACAAGGCUUUUUACAAGGCUUUAUUGCAGCAUGAGACUGAAUGCUAACGGCUCAUUUAUGCUCCUGCCUUUCUGCCAGCACUCUCCGCCGUGCUGCUGUUCAUAAUAGUACUAAUAAUAAUAUUUAUAUUUAAAGAGGAAAAACUAAAAAACACAAACAAGCUGUUGUUUACAGAAGUCCUGCCUUCUCCUCCAAGUGAAAUAUUCACAUGGUGUAUGUAAGAUAAUUAUUUUAAUAAAGGCCGAAUGCCUUCCUUCCUUCCUUCCUUCCUUCACCCCCUACUUUUGACCAGUGCAUAUAAAUGUAAUGAUCAUAUCAGCUGAUGUGUGAGCUGUGCUCCCAGUGCAACCAGAUGAACUGGUGAAAAUGGAUUUUGGGGGAGGGGGGGACAUUUGUGCUGUCUUUUUAUGGUUAAUGUGAAUGUGUUUGGAUUAUUUUCUUUAUUUUUUUAAAGAUGUGUACGGUGUAUUAUGGUGUGUGUAUUCUGGCUGGGUACAUUCUUUUUUUUUUUUUUUUAAACCCUGCGUGCAGUGCUAUGUUGAGUGUUUAUUGUACAUAAAAAGGUGAAGCAACGUGCGAGAUGCUCCAGCCAACUCAGAUUUACGUGACGGUGACAAAACUAUUGAAUAAUAAUGACAGUGUCUGUAGUCACGAUGGAAGUCAUUUCACAUUCCCGCUCAAGCCUCUGAAUUGCAGUUAAGUCUGUGGUAUUUUAGUGUUCAUUCACGGUGCAUCUAAACGUUGGUUGCUUGGUGUAAAAGUGAAUGCUGUAAGGUCAAUGAAGUGGGUGCUAAAUGUGAAAAUAAAGCUUUAAAGCUAAUUGAAGGGACACUAAAAGGCAUCGCAAGAUGCAGCACAGGGUCAAGACAUGGAUUGCCUUUUGUGUUCAUUUUCUUUCUUUGGGUAUUACCGUGCCUCAGAAGUAUACAUUAAAAUCUUCUAAUACA